rnacentral:rRNA from 1 species
AUCUUUGGCAGCUUGCUGUCGAAGGAAAACACACAAAUAAUUUAUCUACCAACGAAAUAAUCAAAACUUUCAACAACGGAUCUCUUGGUUCUCGCAUCGAUGAAGAACGCAGCGAAAUGCGAUAAGUAAUAUGAAUUGCAGCCUUUGUGAAUCAUCGAAUCUUUGAACGCACAUUGCGCCUUGAGGUAUUCCUCAAGGCAUGCCUGUUUGAGCGUCAGCCUCCCUCAAACCUUUGGUUUGGCCGUGAGUGCACCAACGUACGCUCGAAAUAUAGUCGCAUCAUGUCUAGGAUUACCCAUCAUGAUGAUGAACCCAUAUUUUCGACCUCAAAUCAGGUAGGACUACCCGCUGAACUUAAGCAUAUCAAUAAGCGGAGGA